rnacentral:rRNA from 1 species
GAUGAACGCUGGCGGCGUGCCUAAUACAUGCAAGUCGAGCGAACGGACGAGAAGCUUGCUUCUCUGAUGUUAGCGGCGGACGGGUGAGUAACACGUGGAUAACCUACCUAUAAGACUGGGAUAACUUCGGGAAACCGGAGCUAAUACCGGAUAAUAUUUUGAACCGCAUGGUUCAAAAGUGAAAGGCGGUCUUGCUGUCACUUAUAGAUGGAUCCGCGCUGCAUUAGCUAGUUGGUAAGGUAACGGCUUACCAAGGCAACGAUGCAUAGCCGACCUGAGAGGGUGAUCGGCCACACUGGAACUGAGACACGGUCCAGACUCCUACGGGAGGCAGCAGUAGGGAAUCUUCCGCAAUGGGCGAAAGCCUGACGGAGCAACGCCGCGUGAGUAUGAAGGUCUUCGGAUCGUAAAACUCUGUUAUUAGGGAAGAACAUAUGUGUAAGUAACUGUGCACAUCUUGACGGUACCUAAUCAGAAAGCCACGGCUAACUACG